rnacentral:rRNA from 1 species
UUCAAAUUUCCAUAGGGAGGAAAAGAAACUAACAAGGAUUCCCCUAGUAACGGCGAGUGAAGCGGGAUGAGCUCAAAUUUAAAAUCUGGCGGCCUCAGGUCGUCCGAGUUGUAGUCUAGAGAAUCGUUUUCCGCGUUGGCCUGUGUACAAGUCCCUUGGAACAGGGCGUCAUAGAGGGUGAGAAUCCCGUCCUUGACACAGACUACCAAUGCUUUGUGAUGCGAUCUCGAAGAGUCGAGUUGUUUGGGAAUGCAGCUCAAAAUGGGUGGUAAAUUCCAUCUAAAGCUAAAUAUUGGCGAGAGACCGAUAGCGAACAAGUACCGUGAGGGAAAGAUGAAAAGCACUUUGGAAAGAGAGUUAAACAGUACGUGAAAUUGUUAAAAGGGAAACGAUUGAAGUCAGUCAUGCUUUCCGAGACUCAGCCGAUUCUGUCGGUGUACUUCUCGGUUGGCAGGCCAGCAUCAGUUUCGAUCUGUGGAAAAGGUUGGAGGGAACGUGGCAUCCUCGGAUGUGUUAUAGCCCUUCUUCGAAUACAUAGAGCGGGACUGAGGAACGCAGCGCGCCUUUUAUUAGGUUGGCCCUCGGGUACAUACGCGCUAGAUGCAGUC